GACGAACGCUGGCGGCGUGCUUAACACAUGCAAGUCGAACGAAGAGCGAUGGAAGCUUGCUUCUAUCAAUCUUAGUGGCGAACGGGUGAGUAACGCGUAAUCAACCUGCCCUUCAGAGGGGGACAACAGUUGGAAACGACUGCUAAUACCGCAUACGAUCUGACCUCGGCAUCGAGGAUAGAUGAAAGGUGGCCUCUACGUGUAAGCUAUCACUGAAGGAGGGGAUUGCGUCUGAUUAGCUAGUUGGAGGGGUAACGGCCCACCAAGGCGAUGAUCAGUAGCCGGUCUGAGAGGAUGAACGGCCACAUUGGGACUGAGACACGGCCCAGACUCCUACGGGAGGCAGCAGUGGGGAAUCUUCCGCAAUGGACGAAAGUCUGACGGAGCAACGCCGCGUGAGUGAUGACGGCCUUCGGGUUGUAAAGCUCUGUUAAUCGGGACGAAAGGCCUUUUUGCGAAUAGUGAGAAGGAUUGACGGUACCGGAAUAGAAAGCCACGGCUAACUACGUG
rnacentral:rRNA from 1 species